UAGGGUGUGGCUCAGAUGUAGAGCACUUGCCUAGCAUGUAUGAGGCACUGGGUUUGAUCCUCAGCAUCAUAC
rnacentral:tRNA from 1 species